UCCUACCCUCCCUCUCUGAACCUCAGAUGCCAGGGCUCCAGGUCAGGCCUGUGGUCAGUGCCAGCCCCAGCCUGGCAUUCUCGUCCUCGCUGACUCUCCUCCUGUGGCAGCCCAACACCGGGAGAGGUGUUCCCCUGGCGUCGCAGAAGGAAUAGAGAAGCUGCCGUGUCUGCUUUGCACUUGGCUGAAAGACUGACAGCAAGCUGGAAGAAGCCCCCACUUGAGACUGCACUUCUGAGCACAGCUGCUUUGGGGCACAGUCCAGCCCCCACAGAGCACCUGUGUCUCCCGGGCUGGCCUGCAGGGAGGGCCAGCUGUCCCUGUGCCACAGAUGAGGAAACUGAGGCAGCGUAAGGCCAUGCGGGCCCAGUGGCGCUGAAGUCUCCUGCCUCCCUCCUUGCACCUCUGCCUCAGCCCCCGUGUCAGGAUCAGGGCGCUGUGUGAGGAUGGGGAGCUCCGAGCACAGGCAGGCACAGGGGGCACACCCUAGGCGUCAAUAAAAACAACAGCAGCAGAGGCAACAGGGAAGACCGAUGGCUGCCAUGUGUGAGAGCCUCCUGUCAGCGGGCUGGGGUGCCUGCUGGUUAGGCUUCUUGGCCAGAGGGCAGUGCUAUGCCCCAACCGGGUUGCACAAAACAAAAACCCGUGGGGCAGAUUAACUGGUGGGGGUCGGAGGGCUUCUGCUGGGCUCCUUGCCAGGAAGAAACAGAGAGGAGCCUUUCCCUGACCCCUUCAGACAGGCACUGUGAUGUAAUGGCCCAGCCCCUGGGUGCCCAGUAGUCAGAGCCGGCUCAUCCUGGCCCUGACCACUGCACAAUCAUGAGCAUCAAGGGACUGGGGGUCUGGGUCCCCAUGGCCUCCCAGUGCCCAGCACAGAGCACCGCAUGGUGGGGAGCAGG